rnacentral:rRNA from 1 species
AAUCAACCGAGAUUCCCCCAGUAGCGGCGAGCGAACGGGGAGCAGCCCAGAGCCUGAAUCAGUAUGUGUGUUAGUGGAAGCGUCUGGAAAGGCGCGCGAUACAGGGUGACAGCCCCGUACACAAAAAUGCACAUGCUGUGAGCUCGAUGAGUAGGGCGGGACACGUGGUAUCCUGUCUGAAUAUGGGGGGACCAUCCUCCAAGGCUAAAUACUCCUGACUGACCGAUAGUGAACCAGUACCGUGAGGGAAAGGCGAAAAGAACCCCGGCGAGGGGAGUGAAAAAGAACCUGAAACCGUGUACGUACAAGCAGUGGGAGCACGCUUAGGCGUGUGACUGCGUACCUUUUGUAUAAUGGGUCAGCGACUUAUAUUCUGUAGCAAGGUUAACCGAAUAGGGGAGCCGAAGGGAAACCGAGUCUUAACUGGGCGUUAAGUUGCAGGGUAUAGACCCGAAACCCGGUGAUCUAGCCAUGGGCAGGUUGAAGGUUGGGUAACACUAACUGGAGGACCGAACCGACUAAUGUUGAAAAAUUAGCGGAUGACUUGUGGCUGGGGGUGAAAGGCCAAUCAAACCGGGAGAUAGCUGGUUCUCCCCGAAAGCUAUUUAGGUAGCGCCUCGUGAAUUCAUCUCCGGGGGUAGAGCACUGUUUCGGCAAGGGGGUCAUCCCGACUUACCAACCCGAUGCAAACUGCGAAUACCGGAGAAUGUUAUCACGGGAGACACACGGCGGGUGCUAACGUCCGUCGUGAAGAGGGAAACAACCCAGACCGCCAGCUAAGGUCCCAAAGUCAUGGUUAAGUGGGAAACGAUGUGGGAAGGCCCAGACAGCCAGGAUGUUGGCUUAGAAGCAGCCAUCAUUUAAAGAAAGCGUAAUAGC